AAAUCUAUUUAUUGUUUUAAAUACUAUACUCCUGUGUUUGUUGAAAAUUUCGAGGAAAAUGAGUCUGCUAGGGAAAAGAAUUAAAUAUAUCAACGAAGGUAACGCACACAUUGUUUUACAUGUGAUAGAUACCGAUUAUGUGAUUAGAAUCAUCAAGGAAAAUGGAGUAACUGCCAACAUCAAUACAAUUUCUAACUCUGUGAAUUAUGUGAAUCUCGUCAUGGUUCCCCUGGUUUUUGGUUUUAAUAAGUAUAGGCAUGAAGUAAUUGAGCUGCCUCCUGAGGAAAUCGUUAAAUUAUCCAUCUAUUUGAAGGAUAUAAGACCAAAACACAGGCUAGUAAAGUCAGUUUUCAGUAAAUAUGCCUUAAAGGCACCCAACUUGGCCAUUGUCUCUUCAAACACUGAAAACUACUGUUUAGAAUUAAAACCAAAGGAAGGUUUUUUAUCAGAGAGUUUCAAGAAGAUUUCAAAAUGCUAUUACUGCCUCAAACAGUAUCUGAAAGUUGAUGAGAAGCAAAUUAUAUGCAAGACUGAUUAUUGUCCAUUAGAUUUGUUCUCCGGCGAUCACAUCAGAAUGAAGAGAGCACUCAUAAACUUAAUAAAGAAUCCACAAAACAAUUUGAAACUAUUUCAAAAUGAGAAUAUUGUUUAUGAUGAAAAAUCAAAUAUGGAAGACUUUGAAGAUUUGAUCACAAAAAACAUUUUUCAUUCUGUGAAUAAGUUUAAUGAUUUUAUAAUUGCUACAUUACUUAAUGACGGAAUCUCGAAUCUCAUAUUGAAAGAAUCUCCUUACUCAAAAAUUGUGAAACCUAAGUAUUGUUAUGAAAGUAAAAAUCUAAAUGCAAAUAGCUUUCUUUACAAAUUACUUUCUAUCCAAAUGGCAUCAGAAACAUUUGAAAGUCAGCCAUUGAAUUUAAAUACCAUUGAAAGUGAAGGUCUGGAGUAUGUACCAAUACUUAUUAAUUCCAUGAAAGAAAAUAAUAUAGAUCUUACAAAUGAAAUACAUAGAAAAAAGUUCAUGGAUACAACAAACCCAAAGGAUCUGGCUUUGAUAUCUGCAGUUGCUAAAGAUUGUUCAGUGAUGAUCUCUUAUUCAUUGACUCCAAAUGACAAACUGCCGUUUGUUAAAAUUGAUAACACAGAUGUGUACUAUUCCGUGUCAGUUACUGAUUUAGAACCGAAAUCACUCAAAACAUUGGUCAAAAGACAGAAAACGGAAAGAAAACUUUUAGAAAUAUAUGAAAAGUUAUUGAAUUCAUGAUUAGGUAAUCCAGCCACACUCUGAAACUAGAGCAAAACAACUAGAGGCAUGGCAACAAUUGAUAGCACUAUACUUAAAGACAAAUAAGCAAUCAACCAUAGACAUAAGAGAAUCACAGAACAGUCCAUUAUUUAAUAACUCGUCUAUAAACAGAAAGUUAACAGCUGAAGCUAUUUUAACCAUAUUAGAGGAUAUGGCCAAGAGUGGUAAAGCUGCAGCUGUAGAUAAAAAUAAAAAUGUAUGGGAGGUGUAUUGGCACUCGCUGGAUGAAUGGGGUAAUAUGAUAUACAAUUGGGCGAGCGCAAAUGGCAUGAAUAAUAGUGUAUGUACACUGUUUGAAUUGCGGGAAGGUGAAAAUUCAGUGGGAGAAGAAUUCCACGGGCUCGACACAAACAUAUUAAUCAAGGCACUGAAAUCAUUAGAAGUGAAAGGGAAAUGUGAACUAAUGGAAUUUGAUGAUAACCAAGGAGUGAAGUUCUUCUGAAAUGUCUGUGAGAUUGUUAAGUCUAUGUUAAAAACAUUUUCUAUUGAAGUGUUGAUGCAUUUUUGUUAAGUUAUUAGAAUAUUUGUGAAUGUUGGAAUAUAUUGCUUGAUAUUUUAACAA
rnacentral:misc_RNA from 1 species